AUUUAAUGACUAUUAAAGAAAAUGUAUAAAUAUUUAAACCACCAGAGGAUUGCUAUUAAUUUACUCUGCGAGUUUCAAGAAUAUUAUUAAAGAUGUAUUUUGCAUCAGCUGUCAUCCUGGCAUUUGCUACCUUUCUAGCAUUCGUCGAUUUCACGCUUGCAAAACCCGAACCGAAACCUGCAACCGGAACUAUGUCCUAAAUAUCAAGGAAUGGAAGCUGCACUAGUGUUAU